GCUGCCUCUCCGCGCUGGGGCCGUGUCGCCUGCGGCCGGGCGUCCGCCCAGCCACCGGCUGUGCCCCUUCCGCUUCAGCAAGAUGAGCCGGGGCUGGAAAAUGAGAAAUAUUUGCAAAUGUUAAAUAGAAAAAAAAAAAUAAAAAAAGAAGCGAAGACCAAGAAACAACACAUGAUGAAGCUGAUGAAGUCAGACAAAAUGAUUAAUGAGGUCACAGAGUUACUGAAGGGAUGAUUUUUUCCUCGAUCCAGCAGCUGGUUAAUGUCUUAACUAAAAGUAAAGAAGAUGCUGUGUGCCUUUCAUAUAUAUAUAUGUUCUAAGAAUAAAGCACAUAAUGCAGGAGUGUUUGCAGGGACCACACGAACGUAAGUUCAGCUAAAAAUGGAAUUAUUUUGCUGUUUGUUAACUUUGCUUCUCCCAGGAAAUGUUAUCAGUCAUAGUCUCCCUUUUUCUUUUACAGAAGAUAAUUCUUUGUUAUAGAUGCACUCUGGCGGCUCCAUCGAGGUAACCCCCCUCAGAGAGAGAUGGACCCGCACUGUUCUGCCAGGCAUGUUGACCCUGGCUCUUUAGAAGCUCCGUGUACUCUUUAUCUGCUUGCCUUCUAAUCUGAUUUGGUUCUUUUUCCAAAUGGAUUUUAACUCUAAGUGUCACCAUAUCAAGUGAUUGUGGUUUGGGAUGAUUUUUUUUUUGGGGGGGGGGGUCACACAAUCAUUUUAAAGAAACUUAAUGUUUUGAAGAUAGAAUGGAGUACUACCCUAUCUAUUUUCAAGAGGAUCAGUAAAUACAACCACAGUACAAACACUGACAUUAGCAGAACACUUAUAGUGUAAACUUUAAGAAAGACAGGUCUUUGCACAUUGCAUGAAAUUAUUCAAGAUUAAAUUCUGGUUGAACAACCAAACAAUAUUCGUCUUGCUUAUUACCUUUUUUCUGCUGAAUACUAAAAUAUGCAUGUAAUUACACCUUUUUAACAGUAAUGCUUCCACUUUUUAACUACGAAAAAUAAUUUUCAAAAUUUUAUUCAUGAGUUCCAUGGUCUGACAUGUGCUUUUUAAAAUCAAACACAGAAUAGCUAGGACAUUGAAUGCUCCCUAAACUGUCCCACCAACUUUGUGUGUUGCAUGAGCCUUUAUUUAAUCCAGAAUGAAAUCUUAAAAGGAAGUUACAAUUUGUUUGCAUGUAUCAUUCUUCAAUAAAUAAACCACAGUCAAUUAGGUAAGUACGAAAUGAGACAGCUAUUGUUAUUUUUCUGUUGCUCAGGCUUUAACCAUAGCAUCCCACUGAAAUAAAAUACAGUGACACUAUUAAGUUUAUCUGGAGCAAAAAAAGGGCCAAAAUUAGGCGCAAUGCUACUUUACUCCUGAUGUAUAACAAUAUCAUUUGUUUAAUAGGUCUUCCCAGGAAAAUUUGUCUUUGUGUGGGAUAUACCUUUCAGAUAGUUUUUUAACAUAUAGACCGCUAUUCUCAAGUAGAAAUAAAUUUUCAGUUAUAUUCAGAUUUUGUCAAGUCCUUGGAGUAUAUAGAAAGUAAAUGAUAGCUACUGAACAUCAUUCUACCUUAGUCCUUACCUGUAUUUGCAUGGGCAUACUUAUGGCAACACAGCCGUACGCACAAACUUAGCUCUCUCAGUUGACAUACAACACAUCUGUAAUGGGAAUUUGCAUCACAGGAACGUAAUGAGCUCUUGUGUGCAGUAGCUGGUGACUCUGAUGAAGAGCCAUGGAGGCAUAGUUCUAGUAAAUAGUGAAGAAAACUGUUAGGAGUUGGACCACUCUAGUGGUCUUGUGCAUAUACCUCCUAGUAGGUUUAGGAAGCUAAUUAGAAAGACAUCAGCAAUUAGUAUUUACUCUUUUCUUCUUUUUGUUUAUAACAAAGUAGGACAAAAAAUCAUUUCAUGGAUUCUGCAAUGAGGAAACCAUGUGACCUCUCCAGCCAGUUCCCAGAAAAAGUGGCUGCUGCAAGAGAGUUCACCAUUCCUACACACCACUCAGAAAGUACUAAGAAAAAAAUGAAAAAAUACAGAGAGAAAAGAGAUUUCAAAUGACCAGAAAAUGUAAAAAGGUUGGUGAUUCUGGAAUAAGCUGAUUUUUACAAGUAUCUGACAAAUGGAAGUUCCAUUUUAGUUUGCUCUUACAUAGGAAUUUGAUACUAAGGGAAAAUCACUUUAGCAAAUGAAACAAAUAUAAAUUUACUUCAACUGCACUCUCACUAACAUUAAAAAAGUUCUCUUAGAGCAGGAAGCUAAAUCAGUAAAUUCCUUUUUUCUGUUAAAGUCCACUUUGGUUUAGGUCAGAUGCUUCUCUUAUAGAUAAGGGUUCCUUCUCGUAAUGAUAUCGUCAUGAGGAGGUCUUAAAGACUUUGAUUUGAAAUGUGCAAAUUUACCCUUAGCUGUUCAAUAAGUGUCAGAAACUUGCAUUAUAAGUAAAAAUAAGAAUGAAUAUUCCAUGGAAAAACACCUGGCUGUAGUAAGAUGAAUCCCUCAUUUUCAGGAAUGAAAUGGUUGUCUAUUGGUACUCAUGACUUUGUUUGCAGAAAUAGUUUGUUUUCUAGUUACAUGGUGUUACCACUGUCAUUGGCUAAGUCUCCUUUUUUUUGUUUUCUUCAACCUUUUAAGGAUUCAUACAGUGUGCAGAGCAUAGGACAAGGUCUCAAGGCUGUCAUAAACUUUCCCCAGUUUAAUGGCUUGAGAUGACACCUAGUCUACAACCAGUCAGAAUCUCAAAAUGUGUUAUGCAAAGACAGGCUCAGAUGAGCUGCAGGGUUUUUUUUCAUUAUAUGGUUGCCUUUUAAUUUUUAUUGCCAAGGGGACAAACCAAGAGGAAAUGGAUUUAAUAACUGCAAAGUGGUGCAUUUUAAAGCUGCUAUUAAUAACAUUUGAACUCUGAAUCUAAUUUGUGUGUAGGAGGAAUGAAUAAUAAUAAUGUUGUUUUAGAAAAUAAA